rnacentral:lncRNA from 1 species
GGAAGUCUCCAGUUGAAAAAUACCCUCUCCUUCCUUCCAAAAGACCAUUUUGAACUCCAAAAACCAUCUCAAAAAAAUCCCAUUAUCAGCCAAAAACAGAACUGAAAAUCAGCUGAAAAACAGCCAUCAACACUUCAGUUUCUCCUCCUAUAAAUCCAUCUCGUACGAGCUGGAAACUUACACCAAAAGGCCACCAUUUUCAGCUCCAAACAAAUCUAAAAAAAAAAACACAGCUCACAAAAUGCACUCUUGGACUAUUUAUUCAGCGAUGUAGGAGUUAAAAUUCGAAGUUUUCCUGUUCGAGGUUGCCGUCCAAGUUUACGACGAGGUUUUUGGUCCGGAUUCUCUUGAUGAAAUUUCACUUUGGCUAUCAGAACGAUACUGUUCUGUACAAAUUCGCCUUUUGAAUAUUGAAGAAAGUUUAUUGAUUUGAGGUUCGUUCUUAUUUUUAUUUUAUUUUUCCUUCAAUUUUUAUUAACCUACAUGCCUAUAAGUUAUUGUUAGAUAUUUACUGAGUUGUUAAGUUUAUAGUUUCUACUUGUUUAAGCUUUCAAAUGCACGCUUGAUUAGUUUACGUAAAGCUUAUGGAAUCUUGUUUAAAUUGUUGGAUAUUGCCUCUUGAUUUUGUAUGCUAAAAAUUGGAAUUCACAGAGAUUUUGCCAUGCCAUUUUGUUUAUUACAUUUGUCUAUACUUAUUAGGACUUUAGAUUCUUUUUGUCUGUUUCAAGUUUUUUUCUAACUAGAUUAACUAGAUAAGAUUUUAUUUUUUAUUUAGAAUUAAGGAAUUUCGUUCAUAUUAAUGGUCUAGUAUUUGAUCUUGAAAAUAGUUGGGCCUUCUGUAUUCAUUUAAACAUAUACACCAUGAGUUAAAUUAAUUAGGCCACAAUAAAAACACUGGUACCCUGAUGGAUAAGCUAGCCUAUAUCUAUUCCAUAAUAAAUAAUUGCAAAUAUUUUUCAUAACUUAGUAAAGCAAUUCAUUGUAAAUAAUCCUAAUAAUUAAAUUUUACACUUCUACACAAAUCCAUUCCAUAACUCUUGGCCUUACAAUAAUCCCAAACUUAGAAAAUAAAUAAUCAUGAUGCGUUAGAAUGAUUUAGGCAUGCUCUUAAUUAAUCAAAUCAUCGUGAUUAUGUAUACGUUCGCGUUACAUAAUUAAGAUUACCAAAAAAAUUAAAGUAUGCGAUCGCGCGACUUUAGCCAAACAAUCUUAAUAUAAUAAAGUGUUAUUGAUUGUGUACACGUACGCGUGAUAUGAUUCUUGACAAGCCAAACAAAAAUGAGUACACGUACGCGUGACUUAUUUUAAGAUAAUUUUCAUAAAUCUAAUUAAGCAAUAAAAUCGGACAUAGGUAAAACAUGAGAACCAAUAAAUCACAAUUUAUCCAAAAUUAAUCUAAGACAAGUUGUAGUCAAUAAAGCGAUUGUGUUAGAACCACGGGACUCAGGGAAUGCCUUACACCUUCUCCCCGGUCAACAGAAUUCCUUACCUGGAUUUUAUUUUCGCAGACCAGUAAUAAUAGAGUCAAAUCUUCCUUUGACUGGGGAUUCAAAUAAAAUGUGACUUGGAACACCCAAAAAUCAAUUCCAAGUGGCGACUCUGUAAAUAAAAUAAUCCCUACUCAAAUUUGUCACUUUAAUUGGAAAAAUUCUUUAACCCACAGCAAUCCAUGACAUACAUAUCUUUUGGGAUAAAAAAGAGUGUGACAGCAUAGAGGUCGGAAGAAUUUAUUUUUAAGUACGGAUCAAAUCUAAUAAAAUUACUCCAUACUUUCCUUAUACUAUUUCUUUAUCCCAUCACCCCACUCAAUACACUAUUUCCUUGUCUCAUCACCCCACUCACUACACUAUUCACUUAUCACAUCUCAUUCCCAUUUCACUAUUCCCUUGUCUCAUCACCAUUUUCCUAUACUCUUCCUCUCUUCCUUUUUAUUAUUUAUACACCCACUAAAAUUCUAGCCAAAACUCCUCCCACUAGUCCCCCUAAAAUUUCAGCUAAAACUCCACUCACAAAUCCUAUUAAAACCCAGCCAAAAACUCCUCAAAAAUAGUUCGAAUUUCAGCAAAAAAAAGCUGAAAAAUGACCCAAAAUCCAGCUCCAAACCGACCCAAAAUAUCAUCCGAACCACACCCAAAACCAACUAAAAAAUAGUCACAAAAAUCAGCAAAAAGCCAGCUCUCUCUACCUUAAAACAACCCCAAAAACAGAGCUGAAAUAAUAAUAAAAAUGUUAUCAAUUGUGUACACGCACACGUGAUAUAAUUUUUAAUGCGCCAAACAAAACGGGUACACGUACGCAUGACUCGUUUCAAGAUAAUUCCAUAAUUACGAAUAAUCAAGCAAUAAAAGUGGAUAGAUAAAACAUGAAAACCAAUAAAUCACAGUUUGUCCAAAAUUAAUUCAAACCAAGUUGUAGUCAAUAAAGCGAUUGUGCUUGAACCACGGGACUCGGGGAAUGCCUUACAACCUCUCUCCGGUCAACAAAAUAACUCAAGCCACCCUGCUAAAAAUCAAUAACCAUGUGCAAUUCGACAUCAAAUACUCAAAAUGCAUUACCAUAACCACGGAGAAGCAAAUGACACAAUGUCAUACAAAACCCGAAAGAACAUAACCAAUACUCCAUCAACCAAGCAAUACCCAACACUCUUCUCGCUCGAAUUCUACUAUAAGGCCCCAAUAGAACCGCACCAUAUGUGCAUAUAACCAACAAAUCACAACUCCAAGUAGCAUAGAAGAGUAACUCACAGAACAUAUCGGAACACGAAUAAGCUCAACAACAACCGAACGGCACAUCCCUCAACAAUAGCAGUAUGGAGCCAACUAAUCCGACUCGGUGUAGAAUACACACCCUAAUUGGGCCUACCAAUGGACCCCCAAAUCAAUUCCGGGCACCCACAAAUAGAUAAAUAAACCUCUAAAAGCCUACAAUUGACUGAAUCAUAACACAUACUGUCAUCUGGCUAGCUUCGGCCACAACCUCACAGUGCACAACCAUGAAACAAUCUGCUCCUGAGAACUCCCGGCCUCCAAAUUCAUAAAACACACGAAUCACCAUAUCUGAUUCCAUCUCCACCGCCCGAAUGUCUAACACAUCUCUCAUACACGAUCAUCCCAUGAGGAAUACUUCUAAAAUUCUUCCGUGCCACCUAGUAAAAUUUGAAUAUCAGCAGUCGAUCAACCAGAAGAGUGUCGCAAUACCAGUGAAGUAUCCAUAAAUCAAAACACAUUGCCCCUUCUGAAAUGUAUACUCUCAUCAGGCCAUACCGAUUAGUAAUAUCAGUUACCUAGUCAUCUGAAACCGUCCAUGCUGCCUACGAAUCUAUGCCCUUCCCUUCCAAACUGACAUGUGACCUUGCACAUGCAAAUCUCAAUCCCAUACAACACCGCAUCUACCAUGUCAUCCUGUGAAGGGUACAAGAAUCUCGUAAUCAACUCUGAGUCCCAAGAAGAAUACAUAUCCGAUCAGUCAGAAGCCUUCCAUUUAAUCUUAUCCCGGAGAAAAUCUCAAUACGCAAUAUAUUCCUCACGCCGGUAAGAAAUAUACUCCUCGAACCGUGGUAGAAACCAAUGAGAACCCUUCAAAGUCCAUUUGUACAUAACCAAGCUAUAAGAACCGAAUGUCUCUAACUCAACCCAGCCACGCAGGUCACCAAAACCCAAAAGCAUUGCCACAAAACACAUGUAGAGACUAGCCACAUCAUAAGUACCCAAAGAACCGAUUAUAUCCAUUACUGUGCUAACCCAACCUACUACAAAGUUUUCAUAUUCCAUCAAGUCCUUUCCAAAUUGCCUUCAAAUUGAUACUUCUCCUUGCUAGAACACCACGAUCCCUAACCAAAAUUCAUCACACAAGAGACCUUAGUAUCAAACUACAAUGCCCUAAGGCCCAUAAGCCGUUGACUUCCCUCUUAAGCACCCCAAGGUACCAUAACCGAGACACCCACUCUAAAGAGACCUUAUGUAAAUCUAAAAUUAUUUCCUUCACCUUCUUGAUACUGAAAUGCACAAUCCACAAUGAUAUAAAAAUGCCACAAAUCUCGACACCAUCAAACACAACUCCCAGUUUCUAGCCAUAUACAAAUCUUGAAAAUUCCAAAUCGCUACAUAUGAAUCUUGAAUCCAUUAGAACCAUUCUCGAGAGUCAUCCACUCUACUCAAAUCUAUUAAACCGCCCAAACGGACCGAACGACCUGUGCCUCAUUAGCACAACAAUACCCAAGGGAGUAAAGAGUAGCCCACACUCCUAAGCAACCGAGCAAAUUCCUACUCCAUGUACACUACAUCCUUCGCAAAUAACCACUCAAUUAUUUUGUGAUUCUCAUAUACCCAUAGAGUGUAAUAUAACCUGUAUCCAGAAAUUCCUUUACCCGGGUCAUCCUCAAUCUCAACCCUUGCAGUCAUAGCUGAUUCACCAGUAUACCUCGAACCGAAACCAAUAUAACACACAAUCGUGCAAUCAACUUGUCGAUAGCAGACUCCCCCACUUGGCUCAAAGCCAUGGAAUAAAACAUCUGACUACUUACAAUAACCAUACCCCCUUACUACCAUAAUACCACAGUGCGAUUCAACUAAAUCCUUCCUGAGCUCCUGAACACAAACCAUCUAAUACUUCAAAUUAUCUGCAAAUAUCGCAUUCACCCUUGUAAUAGUCAAGCCAACUUCCACAAGCGAUCCAAACUCAAAUUGCAACAUAUAUCAUUCACUGGUAAAAGAGAACUCUCUACAAAACAUCAUAAGGACCAAAAAACCUCAGGACACCUCGCAGGAGAUAACCCACCUGCUCUGCCUCAAACUGACAUCUCUCUAUACCCUUCCACAGUCACGAGUACUACGCAAUUACUUAAUCUUCUUGAUUCUUAACUCAUUAACAAGACAUGAGAAUCUACUUCACUCCACAACUAAACAACACGAGAGAUCCCUCAACACACCCAUAAUUCAAGACCAUACGCAAAAUCAAGACAGAAAUCAAACACCACAUAGUCCUUGCUACAUCUCAAGUAAACUCUUCUCGUCACAUUCGAACAAUCUGAACAUAUCUCGCAGUCUCAUCACACUCACCACAUAGUUAUCCAAUCACGAAUUCCGCUAAUAGGGAUACCAACAGACCUAUAAGUCCCAAAAGCUCAUGCUCACACAAUCGAAAUCACCGUGUUCAAGCUACCGUCAAAACCUGGCAUUAAGUCCUCCAGGCUGGCCCAUCACCAAAACACAGAAUACACAUCUCGAACCUCAUUCAUAGAAUCACAAGCUGGCGAUGCACAGUCGAUACCGAGCAUACAAAUGUGUGGAAGGAAUUCAAAGAGUUACGCUUCAAGCUGAAUCGAUGUCACACGAUAAGAAAGAAAGAUGGGAAGUAUAUCCUAAAUGUCUUGUAGCCUCUCGAAGAUAGGUAUGGAUGUCAUCAUACCGAUCUGCAAGACUCUACUAGACACUUGCUCAUGACUUGUAGAACCUAUGUACCUAGAGCUCUGAUACUACCUUGUCAUGACCCAAAAGCCAACUAGUCGUGAUGGCACCUAACCCAACCCGCUAGAUAAGCCAGCUAACCACUAACCAAUUCCAAUAAUAAUCAAUAAAGCAAUUAAGUAAAGAAAUUAUCUGAAUCUGAUACAUUCCCCAAGAACUGGUAGUACAAAUCAUGAGCUUCUAAGAAUAGAAUUUACAAAGCUGAAAUGAAAUAAAUACAUCGUCUGUUUGAAAAGUACAUAAACAGAAUUUUACAGAUUUAAAGCUAUCACGAAUAAGAGGCAGCUACAACCGGGACGCAGGUACAUCUUCAAUCUAGCUCCCAUCGAUCACAGCAACAUCAGCAGCCAACAUCUGCACGCAAGGUGCAGAAGUGUAGUAUGAGUACAACCGACCCCAUGUACUCAAUAAGUAACAAACCUAACCUUAGAUUGAAAGUAGUGAUGAGAUAACAAAAAGGUCGGGUCCAACACCAAUAUUCCACAACAGUUCAUAACAGCAUAGUACAAGUAACAAAAUAUUAUCUCAGGGAUAAAAGGCUCAGUUCGUUCACAGUUCCAGAAAAAUAGGCGUUUUCUUUCAAGUAUCUCAGUAAAAACCCAAAUCUUUUACCGAAAAAGCCAAAAUACGAGUAAGUUUGAAAACUGUGAUUUUUCCAAAUAUCCCUUCCAAAAUAAAUAAGAUGUUUCAUUUUCUUUCCAGAUAACAAGUGUGAAAUACCUCUUUAUGCCCAUAUAUCAAUGUGUGUAAAAAGUCAUGAAUGACGUGAUACCGUACAACAUGAGAAAAAAAUGCAUCUCUAUGCCUGUAUGUCAUGUGUGCAUGCCAGUGCCAUGUAUCUCAGAGAUAAAUCAUGUACUCACACUCUCAGAGUACUCAAUCUCACUAUCUCUCAUCCUCUCUCACUAUGCUCAAUGCUCAGCUCACUAAAUCACUCAGCAUUGUACAAUGCCUACUGCGGCGUGCAGCCCGAUCCAUAUAUGACCAUAAGACCUGUUGCGACGUGCAACCCGAUCCACAUAUAUAUAGUCGACUGCGCUCACUGGGGGUGUGCAGACUCCGGAGGGGCUCCUUCAGCCCAAUCGCUAUAUCGCUGCGACGUGCAGCCCGAUCCCAUAAUAUAUAAAUAGUCAUAAGGCUCGUUGUGGCAUGCAACACGAUCCAUAUAUAUNNNNNNNNNNNNNNNNNNNNNNNNNGAUGACAGUACGAAACGACCAUUAUGGGUCCAAACAGUAUCGUCAUAAAGCCUAAAUAUGAUAUCUAGCAUGAUUGACAGCUUAACUACUUUAUCACAUGGUGAAAAUACGGAUAUCAACAAAGUAGGACCACUAUACAGUUCCAUGGGAACAACAGAGUCUCAAUUCACAUGGUGCACACCCACACGCCCGUCACCUAGCAUGUGCGUCACCUCAACACUAAUCAUAUAACACGUAUUUCGGGGUUUCAUACCCUCAGCUCCAAGAUUAGAAGAGUUACUUACCUCGAACGAGCCAAUACCAAAGCCGAGCAAGCCAAGCGAUGCUCCAAAGAUGCCAUCACGCGCGUUCCGACCUCCGAACGGCUCGAAAAUAACCAAAAACAACUCAAAUACAUCAAACAAUGCUAAAGGAACCAAUCCCGAUCGAAAAAGAUCAAAUCUUGAAUCAAAAGCCCAAAAUCGGCCAAAAGCCCGCACCUAAGAACCCAACAAAAUUUAUAAAAUCCAACAACCCAUUCAAUUACGAGUCCAACCAUACUAGUUUCACUCAAAUCUAACUCCAAUUCGAUGUUCAAAUCUCAAAAAUUCAUAUUAUGAAACUUUAGGCCAAAACCCCCAAUUUCCUCUUUAAAAUUCAUCAACCAAACGCUAAAAUCGAAGAUAGAUUCAUGAAAUAUAACCAAAACUGAGUAGAGAACAAUUACUUCAAUUCAUAAGGUGAAAAUUGCUUCAAGAAUCGCCUCAAUCCGAGCUUCAUAUCUCCCAAAAUGAAGAAAGAACCAAAACUCUCGAUAAUAUAGCUUCUGCCCCAGUGAUUCCGUAUUUGCGGCCUAUUCGUCGCAUCUGCGACCACCGCUUUUGUGGUAAAAACUUCACUUCUGCAAAGAUAGCCUUGCCCAGCAACCCUCGCACCUGCGGAUAUUAAAUUCCGCUUCUGCAAAGAUUUUUGCAUCUGCUCUUCUAAUCUCGCAUCUGCGCGCACGCAGGUGCGCUACAAAAAUCCGCUUAUGCGGUCUUCCUCACCCAGCCUCUUCUCGCUUCUGCGACCAUCGCACCUGUGCAAUACCAGUCGCAGGUGCGGAACACCAGAACCAGCAGCUUAGCAAAAAUUCAAAAUGCAAUGAAAUGAUCCGAACCUCGUCCGAAACUCACCCGAGCCACUCGGGACCCCGUCCGAAUAUAUCAACAAGUCCAAUAACAUAACACGGGCCUACUCGAGGCCUCAAAUCACACAUAUCAAUAUCAAAAAGACGAAUCACACCCCAACUCGAAAUCAAUGAACUUUAAAACUUCAAACUUUCACAACUGAUGCUGAAACUUAUCAAAUCACGUCCGAUUGACCUCAAAUUUUGCACACAAGUCACAUUCGACGUUACGGACCUGCUCCAACUUUCGAAAUCAGAAUCCGACCCUGAUAUCAAAAAGUCCACUCCCGGUCAAACUUUUCAAAAUUUUAACUUUCGCCAUUUCGAGCCAAAUUCCACCACGGAUCUCCAAAUCACAAUCCGGAUGCGCUCCUAAGUCCAAAAUCACCCAACGGAGCUAACGGAACUAUCAAAAUUCCAAUCCGAUGUCAAAUGCUAAAAAGUCAAACUUGGUCAACUCUUUCAAAUUUAAAGCUCCCUAGUUGAGAAUCAUUCUUUCAAAUCAGUCCCGAAUAACCUGAAAACCAAAACCGACAAUUCACACAAGUCAAAAUACAUCAUACAGAGCUACUCACGCCCGAAAACUACCGAGCAAUGUGCGAAUGCUCAAAACAACCGGUCGGGUCGUUACAAAAAAAUUUAAGAUCCCAAAGCGAGGUAUAUUAAAUUCCUUCUUUAGUGAUAUUUCUUGAUAUGUGCAUUUAUUAAUUGUGACAUAAUCUUUACAAUAUGCUAAGAUUGUAAAAACAAAAAGUAAUAUUACUUUGUUAGAUAAUUUUUUAUAAAUGCUCAGCCAUGUAAAAAUCUCAAAGAAGAAUACGGAUGAGAACAAAAUUUGGUAGAGCUCAACUUGAAAAUACUCACCAAAUUGGAUUUGAAAUUAAAAAUCUACUUAUAGGUGAAGUGGACACUUUAUUGUAUUAUACAAAAUUUUGUCAUUGCUUUUAGUGUUUUUAAUUAAUUAUAGUAAAAUAUUAAAAUUAACAAAAUAGAAAUGAGUUAUUGAAAAAUGUCACAUUUGGGGGGCGGGGGAGGGGGAGAGGAGAGGAUGAUGAAGUAGAGAUAGAUUGAUAAUGAUGUGUAGGGUCUAGCUACUUUUUGGCUGACACAUAGUAUAUUUGCUUUGAUUUUUAGUUUGAAGUGUAUAUUUUACUGCCUCUCUCUACAAAGAAUACUAAUGGUAUAAAAAGUGCAUUCUUUAUAUUCUUGGUAAAAAAUAUUUCUUGACACCAAGAUGCACCCAUCAUUUUAAACUUGGACACGUUGGGCGAGUUAUUAAAAAUAAAUUGAUUUGCUGUCUCUAAAUUUAACUUACGUACAACAUAAGUUCUAGUAAUUAAUGUGGCUACCUGGUUCAUGUCGUACUAACUAAGUUCCCCUUAUGGCUUUGAAAAUUACGUGUUACUUAGUGGGCGUUUGGACAUAAGAAUUGUGAUAUUUCGGAAAAAAAAAAGGUGAAAUUUUUUAGUAAAAAUACUAUUUAAAAAUUAGAGUUGCGUUUGGACAUGAAUACAAUUUAGAGUUGUUUUUGAACUUUUGUGAAUAAUUUGAAGUAAAAAAUUUGAAAAACAGUCUUUUGGAGUUUUUUCAAAAAUAUCGAAAUUCAACUAUUCAAGUAAAAUUUGAAAUUUUUAUGGUCAGACACGGAUUCCAAACAAAAGUGAAAAAUUUUCAAAAAAAAAGUGAUAUUUUAAUAUGGAUAAAUGUUACUGCACAUUAUAAUUGGAAAUACAAAAAUUGAAAUCUAAAAUUAACUACGAUGUAUAAAUAUAUUGUAGUAAACAAGUUGCUCGUAUUUUAAGCUAGACCUCGCUUGCACAAGAAUAACAUUAUUGCCUAAUUUUAGUUGAAAAGGAAUUAAUCUUGCUCCUAUUUAGGCUCGGCAAAUCAAAGUAUUAAAGAGCUAAAGAUAAUUAUAUUAAAAAUCUGACUUACUUACACUUAAUAAGAACAUAACAUACUUUUUUCUAAUUUAACCAUGCGGAACUAAUUUGGAUUUUGGCCGGAUAAUUACUAAUGUCAAUUAAAAUGUAACUAAUGUCAAUUAAAACUCCGAUAAAUAUAUUUACAAAAUUGGAAAUAAAAGAGGAUCGAUUUAAAUACCCAAUGCACUUAAUAUUAAAAUGAAAUUGUUUAAAAUAAUGGCAAAUUUUGUAUUUAUAUAUAUUGUACUUAAAUUUAUUAUAAUCUCACUUUACAACAGCAGAAGGUACUUAAUUACUGGUAAACACCAAAGGUGGAAAAAUGAAAAAAGAACAUAAGAUUACCCCUGGAGUGCCUGUUUGGCUCAUUUCCUUUUGAUGCUUUCUCCAUAGGAAAAGCUUGUAAUGUGAUCAAGAGAAAAGGUGUAAAUUCGUUCCAAGAAAUUGCUUAAUUGCAUCAUUAUUAAAUUUUUGGUUCAUUCAUAUUUUUACUGUUAGCAAAUUGUUUCGUAUUUGAUCUAAUCAUUAACGAAACUCCAACAUAGAAUGUGUGUAGUGCACACAACGUAUCCAAAUUCUUUGAAAAAACUAUCCAUAUUUACCCCUUAACUAUUGACUAAUAUUUGAAAUUAUCAUCACGUUAGAGCUCUAUUAGAGUCAAAGGCAAAAAUGAGAUUCUUUCCUAACGUGAAGAGUAGAUAUAAGAUUUUACAAUGACGAAAUUGCUCAACUUCAAAUAGUUGUAUAAGUCUGUCUUACAGUUUUACACUUAAUACGUCUGUAUUAUUCUUCCUUACUCAGUAAUAGACAACUUUGGGUCAAGAUAAAAAAUUUAAAAAGAGAUGUAAGGUCCGCCAUCUAUAGGAGUUAAUAUUAAUAAUUGAUAGAUGUUUCUUUUCUUAUCACAAAGAGCAAGUCAGGGUUUUUGCUUUCUAUAAGUAAAUAUUAGAAAUUUUGAGCGGAUCAAAUGUAUAAAUUUGCUUCAUUUGUUUGUUGAAAAUAAAACCUUGAACUGAGAAUAUACAGGAAAAUACUGCAAAAGCAAAAUCAUGGGGCUUACUAACUUUUUUGUGUAAUUAACCUAAACAGUCGUUCACUUAACCGUUUAAAGUAAAAAAGUUGACGGAAGUAUAAUAUAUGUUUUUUUUUCCUUGGCGCUUUCCGCGCCGGGUUCGUUAAUCACUCAGAACGUACGCGAGAGGGCGCACCGGGUAUAGGAGGGAGCUGCGCAGAGGGAGGCCGGAGCACCGCCCCGCUCCCCAGUGUUUAAACAAGUUUGCGGGUCGUUCUGCUUUGCAGGUUUCGACAAUGAUCCUUCCGCAGGUUCACCUACGGAAACCUUGUUACGACUUCUUCUUCCUCUAAAUGAUAAGGUUCAAUGAACUUCUUGCAACAUCACGGGCAGCGAACCGCCCACGUCACCGCGAUUCGAAUAUUUUGCCGGAUCAUUUAAUCGGUAGUUGCGACGGGUGGUAUGUACAAAGGGCAGGGACGUAGUCAACACGAGCUGAUAACUCACACUUACUAGGAAUUCCUCGUUGAAGACCAACAAUUGCAAUGAUCUAUACCCAUCAUGAUGAAAUUUCAAAUAAUACCCAAGCCUGUCGGCCAAGGCUAUAAACUCGUUGAAUAUAUCAGUGUGGCGCACGUGCGGCCCAGAACAUCUAAGGGCAUCACAGACUUAUUAUUGCCUCAAACUUCCACGGCCUAAAAGGUCGUAGUCCCUCUAAGAAGAUAGCGUGAAUGGAUACCUCUGCAUAGCUAGUUAGCAGGUUGAGGUCUCGUUCGUUAAUGGAAUUAACCAGACAAAUCGCUCCACCAACUAAAAACGGUUAUGCACCACCACCCAUAAAAUCAAGAAAGAGCUCUCAGUCUGUCAAUCCUUACCAUGUCUGGACCUGGUAAGUUUUUCCUUGUUGAGUCAAAUUAAGCCACAUGCUUCACUCCUGGUGGUGCCCUUCCGUUAAUUCUUUAAGUUUCAGCAUUGAGACCAUAUUCCCCCCGAACCCAAAAAGUUCGAUUUCUCAUAAGGUGUCGGUGGAGUCCUAAAAGUAAUAUCCGUCGAUCCCUGGUCGGCAUCGCUUAUGGUUGAGACUAGGACAGUAUAUGAUCGUCUUCGAGCCCCCAACUUUCGUUCUUGAUUAAUGAAACCAUACUUGGCAAAUACUUUUGCAGUUGUUCAUCUUUCAUAAAUUCAAGAAUUUCACCUCUGAUUAUGAAAUAUGAAUGCCUCCGACUGUCCCUAUUAAUCAUUAAUCUGAUCCCGAAGGCCAGCGUAAUAAGACCGAAAUCCUAAUGUUAUCCCAUGCUAAUGUAUACAGAGCGUAGACUUGCUUUGAGCACUCUAAUUUCUUCAAAGUAACAACGCCGAAGGCGCGACCCGGACAAUUAAGGCCAGGAGCACAUCGUCGGCAGAAGGGACGAAACAACCGGUGCACACCUAGGGCGGACCGGUCGGCCCAUCCCAAAGUCUAACUACGAGCUUUUUACCUGUAAUAACUUAAAUAUAUGCUACUGGAGCUGGAAUUACCGCGGCUGCUGGCACCAAACUUGUCCUCCAACGUAUCCUCGUUAAGGGAUUUAGAUUGUACUCAUUCCAAUUACCAGAUUCAUAGAGUCGAGUAUUAUUAUUUAUUGCCACUACCUCCCCAUGUUAGGAUUGGUAAUUCGGGCGCCUGUUGCCUUCCUUGGGUGUGUUGCCAUUUCUCAGGCUCCCUCUACGGAGUCGAACCCUAAUUCUCCGUCACCCGUCACCACUAUGGUAGGCCACCAUCCUACCAUCGAAAGUUGAUAGGACAGAAUUUUGAAUGAUGUGCCACCGGCACGAUGGUCGUGCGAUCUGUCAAGUUAUCAUGAAUCAUCGCAGCAACGAGCAGAGCCCGCGUUGACCUUUUAUCUAAUAAAUGCAUCCCUUUCAGAAAUCGGGAUUUGUUGCAUGUAUUAGUGUUAGAAUUACUAUGGUUAUCCGAGUAGUAGAUAUCAUCAAACAAACUAUAACUGAUUUAAUGAGCCAUUCGCAGUUUCACAGUUUGAAAUUUUUCAUAGUUACAUAUGCAUGGCUUAAUCUUUGAGACAAGCAUAUGAAUACUGUCAGGAUCAAUCAGGUAGCAUUCCUCAUUGACGUCGAUGCAUGAGCAUGGCCGACCCAAAAGGCACGGCCAAGUCCAAGACGAGCACGACCGUCAUUCGUAAGGAGCAUUAUAUGGGCAGAUUGGAGCCAAUGAAGACCACAUGCCCACUGCCUUUACCGAAUCUGAGAGUCCGAGCAUACUAGUCAUGGACCAAGCCAUCACACGACGAAGCGAAGACGAUGUGGGACACGAGGGGCGAAAGGCAAUCGAUUGUACUUGAUAAUGCCUGCGCAUUAGGUAUGCAACACAGGAAACCGACAUCGAACAAGUCUAAUUUGCG